rnacentral:rRNA from 1 species
AAUGGGCGAAAGCCUGACGCAGCAACGCCGCGUGAGUGAUGAAGGCCUUCGGGUCGUAAAGCUCUGUCAGAAGGGAAGAAAUGGAAGGGUGUUAAUACCAUCUUUUCUUGACGGUACCUUCAAAGGAAGCACCGGCUAACUCCGUGCCAGCAGCCGCGGUAAUACGGAGGGCGCAAGCGUUGUUCGGAAUUAUUGGGCGUAAAGCGCACGUAGGCGGCUUGGUAAGUCAGGGGCGAAAUCCCACAGCCCAACUGUGGAACUGCCUUUGAUACUGCCAGGCUUGAGUACCGGAGAGGGUGGCGGAAUUCCAGGUGUAGGAGUGAAAUCCGUAGAUAUCUGGAGGAACACCGGUGGCGAAGGCGGCCACCUGGACGGUAACUGACGCUGAGGUGCGAAAGCGUGGGCAGCAAA